GGCAGAAUACAAAGGGCAAAGUGCAGUGAGAUACAAGUCAGCAAUUAGGAAGGAGAUUGAAGGACAAGGUUACAGGAUAUGGGGCAAUGUUGGAGACCAGUGGAGUGACCUCCAAGGAGACUGUUUGGGCACUCGUACUUUCAAGCUCCCAAAUCCCAUGUAUUUCAUUUCUUGAUGAAUUACCUCAUCAACCUUUUUUUGGCUAAUUAAUCCUUCUAUAUAAUUCAAGUAUCCUACCUCUCAAAUGGUUGUUAUUGGUGGUCCAAAAUGAUUUCUCCCCAAUUUGUACUCAGCAAAUUAUGCUUAAUUUGGCCACUCAAUUAAUUUAGAGCUUUUCCUCAUUAUUAGCCGUAUUUUAAAUUUUAAAUAAUAUAUCACUAUGCUACAUCAAGUUUAAAGUAAAGAAAAAGUAUCUAAAAAAGAGUGUUAUAUGAGAGUGUUAGUUAACACUUGAAGGAGUGUAAUAAGACUUUAAGCUUUUACCAUAAUAAUGAAUUUUUAUGGUGAUAAUUAUCUUAUAACUAAUAGAAUGUUUUCUUUAGUUUUUGAUAUUAUAUUUGUUUUUCUUAUACUAGUAAAUGACAAUACAUAUAUGCCCUCUUAUAAUGAUCACAUAUAACCACUGUUAAUAUCUUAUUUUUCGUUCAAGUGGCCUUUUGUUAUCUUUUUACCCAAAAAAAUUGGUGAAAUUCUCCUUCUACCUUUUAUAAUGUUUCCAAAACCUUCAACUUUCUUUUGGAAAAGGAAUCUUCAAGAAAAAACUAAUGGUACAAGGGAAGGCACAAGAAAGUUAAAGGGUUAGAAAAAAUAAAUUAAGAUAAAAAUAAAUUAGAUAAGGUUUUCCUUUUUGUUCUUAAUAUUUAAAAAAUUAAGAAUAUAUCAAAUAUUUAAUUUGAUUUAAUUUUUCACUUAAAUUUGAAAUAAAUUUUAAUUCUAUCGUAUGCUAUCAUCAAUAUUUUUAUAUUCAUGCAAAUUCUUUUUACAACUUUUAACCUUCAAUUUUUAUUCUAAAUUUUCUUUUUCCAAAUCCAAAUUUACCUCAUCAAACCCUUAUUACUAAUUUGUCAUUGUAAUGAUGUUUCUAGUUAGUAAUGGAAUCCAAAUAAUCAUAGAGAGUAUAGUAGUAAAGCUAAAUACUUUUGGCUUGCUCAAAGAAAGUUUUAGUAAAAUAAUAGAAUAAAUGACCAUUAUCCAUAAAAGAUCUUGACAUAUGUAUCUAUAAUAGAUUAAAAUUGAUUUUGUACCUAUAAAAAAUGUUCUGUGCGUGAUAAAAAUAUCUAUUUUAAUUAUACAUUUAUUUUGUUAUUAUCCAAACCUACGUGGCAUCCCAACUUAUAAAUUCUGCGAAAUAAAUAAAUAGUUAGUCAAUAAAUUAAUUAUUAUUCAAAGAAAUUAGAAAAUUAAAUAUUUAUAAUUUAGAUGAGUAGAAAUAUUAAAAAGAUAAAUUUUGACACUAAUUUUAAAGAUUUUAGUCCAAAACCGAGUCAAAAGACUGAACUGGUCGAAUCGGACCCAACACCCAGCCCAUUCACUUUCUUAUAAGUGGCUUCAGCCACUUUUACCUCGAGCAAAAGGGAAUUUACACAAAGGAAGAGAGAAAUCAACGUUCAGAAAACCCCAACCUUUACCAUCGAAAUUCAAUUGUCCAUAACUUUCAAUUCGGAACUCCAAUUGACGAGCCGUCAACAGUCACGUGUUCAUCUCAGAAUUCUCUUCAAUGCUAUCUAAACAAAGUGGUAAGAAAUUUGUAUUUUUUACCCAGUUCUUUCUCUCCUCAAAUUCGUAAGUUUUAAGUUUAGAUAUUGAGGAAUUGAAUUAUUUUGAUGGUUUAGGUGAACUCUAGUAGCGUGAAAUUACUUUUUCCAAAAAUUUAAACUAAUAAAAGAAAACAAUAUAAAUAAUUACAUCUCUAAAGAAUAGAUAAUUAAAGUGAGAAUAUUGUGAAAAGGAAAAACAAUGAGUAACAAAUAUCAUCUAAUUUAAUAGAUGAGUUGCACUACUAAUAAAAGUGAUGAGCUAUGUAGGUAAAAAAGGUGAUUAAUGAAGGAGUAGUAAUUGGGUGUGAUUUUGUAGGACGGCAGAAUACAAAGGGCAAAGUGCAGUGAGAUACAAGUCAGCAAUUAGGAAGGAGAUUGAAGGACAAGGUUACAGGAUAUGGGGCAAUGUUGGAGACCAGUGGAGUGACCUCCAAGGAGACUGUUUGGGCACUCGUACUUUCAAGCUCCCAAAUCCCAUGUAUUUCAUUUCUUGAUGAAUUACCUCAUCAACCUUUUUUUGGCUAAUUAAUCCUUCUAUAUAAUUCAAGUAUCCUACCUCUCAAAUGGUUGUUAUUGGUGGUCCAAAAUGAUUUCUCCCCAAUUUGUACUCAGCAAAUUAUGCUUAAUUUGGCCACUCAAUUAAUUUAGAGCUUUUCCUCAUUAUUAGCCGUAUUUUAAAUUUUAAAUAAUAUAUCACUAUGC
rnacentral:lncRNA from 1 species